rnacentral:rRNA from 1 species
UACAGAGGUCCCAAGCGUUGUUCGGAUUCACUGGGCGUAAAGGGUGCGUAGGUGGUGGGGUAAGUCGGAUGUGAAAGCUCGGAGCUCAACUCCGAAAUGGCAUUGGAAACUACCCUGCUUGAGGGUCGGAGGGGGGACUGGAAUUCUCGGUGUAGCAGUGAAAUGCGUAGAUAUCGAGAGGAACACCAGUGGCGAAGGCGAGUCCCUGGACGACUCCUGACACUGAGGCACGAAAGCUAGGGGAGCAAACAGG